UGUCUUCUUUGAUUCCCCCGCUGGCCGGUCGCUGCUCGUCGUGACUUCUUCGGUUCCCGCUGGCCGCUGCUCGUCGUGACCUUCAGCCAAAAGCAAAAAUCGAACUCGUGAGUCGUGACCUUCAGGCUUCAGCCACAGGCUCGAGUCGUGACCGUCAACCACACUUCUGUCCUCUUCUGUCCCCUCUGCUCGUCGCCGCCGCUGCAAGCUCGU
rnacentral:lncRNA from 1 species